CCCCUCACCCACCAAGUUCUUCUUAAAAACUGAAUGCUCUGGGAGACCAAUCUGAGUAGUAAUGAAACUCUGAUCUCCCACACAGCCUGCUCUGUUUGAAUUAUUCUUUCUUUAUUGCGAGGCCUUUGUCUUGAUAAAUCAUCUCUGCCUAAGCAGCGGGCAAGGUGAACCCACUGGGCACUUAAACUUUCCAGUCAUAGAUGGCUGAUUCAUUAAUUUAUUGAAUCCUAUCUAUUGAAUAACUUGAGCAGUUACUUAUAUUCAUUUUGCUUUGAAUUCUUAAUCUAUGACUUAGAGAAAACAGUAACUUCCAGAUUCAGUUGAAAUGCAGAUUAACUAAGCCAAUCACAUAGAAGCUCAGCUUCAGCCACUAUGGAAGCAAUCCAACUCUUCUGAGAUCACCAAGCUAUGAGGAAGCCCAAAUUAUCUCACAUGGAGAGACCACAUGAGAAUCUCUACAUGAAGAGACUUCAGAUUACAUGAAGAGGAAGAGAUGCUUGGCUGGUUGCUCCAGUUUCCUUCAUGUCAAAAUCCAGCCAUCUUCUGAGUAUAACUACAUAUGAGACACUGAGCCAGAUGCUGAGUUGUGCCUGCGUUUGUGACCUGCAGAAGCAAUGCAGAUGAGCCAGAAACUGGAACUGACUUUUUGAAAUAAUCUUGAGCUGAUAGAGAAAUCUAUGCUACAAUAUGUAGAGACUCUUUAUAAUAUGACAAAUGUACUGUGAUAUACAUGGGUAGACAGUAAGGAAGAUGUAGAAAAUGUGAAGAAUAACAGGAUCAGUCUCCAUGCGAGCCUGUACAGGGAAACAUAACGGAGAGGGUCUUUGCCUGUGAAUUUCAAAGAAUGUGCACUGCCACUACAGAAUGUUACCUACAGUAUGUCAGGAGGUCAUUGAGAACAUAAUAGCCAAAUACUAAACUGAAUCUAUUCUGCCUUCUCAACUCUGCAGCUCCACAGCUACCAAACAGGUCUUUACAAAACACUAGUAAAAUCUUCAGAUCAAAAGCCUCUCCGAUGGAACCCAUCACCCAGGGAAACAGAAGCUGCUGCGUGUAUGGAGUUAGCAAAUAGUGCAGAGAACCUCUCAUACAGCUAAAUGUCAUUUGAAGCCCAGUGAGAACAAAGUUCAUUGUUCACAUUACGCUUAGAAAUAUAUUACUAGUGGUCUCCAUUAAAGUGCAAAAGAGAAAACAGCUGUUCUUCUUCAUCCUAAGUUCAGUAUUAUUUUUAUUUGCUAUACUCUGAGGGUUAUGCCAAAAUUUUCAAAUACUUUUGCUAUCUCUGAAAUCUUUCAGUUAGGGUUUCUUCUUGCUUUAUAGUAUGUAUGUGUGUGUGUGUGUGUGUGUGUGUGUGUGUGCAUAUAUAUAUACACACACACACAUAUAGAUGUAUUUGAGUAUAUAAUAUGUUUAUAAAUCAUCUGUAAUCAUAAAUUUGCUAUGGAUUAAUAUUUUUAUGAACAAGACACAUAUGAUUUAUAAUUUUACCCAAUGAUUGAGAAUUCUGAGGACAAAAUAAAAAGAAAGUUACAAUCAUUUUUAUGACAAUAUUGAGCUCAUAUUUAGAAUGUUAAAAUAUCAUUUUAGGAAGCACUAGAAGAAUCCAAAUGUUUUUCUAUCAUAUCCCUCUUGGAAACGAAGCAAAAGUUUACUUUUGAUAAAACUUACAUACGUUAAAAGCUAGAAGUUUCCGUAUUUAUAAAAGCUUUCACAUAACACACAGAAUUUUGAUAAAUAGUGGAAAUAGGAUUUUCUUUUAAAAUUAAUAAUUUUUAAAAUAAAUUGUUACAAAGGGGUUUGAAACUUAAUUGACUUAAAUAAUGACAUACCAGAGAAGUGAACAAGAAAAAUGUUUUUAUUAUUUGUGUUACAUUCAUAACAAAUGACAUUGAUAAGAGCGUAACAAAAACAAGGUGUAAAUUGGAGGCAUAUUCAUGGCAGUUCUAAGUGCCUUGAAAAGUUGAUCUGAAUUGCUUGCUUCAAAGAGAAAAUAGACUCUUAAUGAUCACUUCUCUGACAACUAACAGUAACAUCAUUUUUAGCUAUGACUGCUAAAAUUAGAUACCUUCCUCUUGGAAAUAUACAUUCCCAGACAGCAGCACAGGAUGACAGCCUUCACCUCAUGAUAAGAGGGAGAGUAAUAAUUUAUCUUUAAAUGAGCAAUUUCUGUGAUGAAGGAAAAAAAUGUUACUUAACAAGGAUUUGAUGGCAAAAUAAUGAAAAAUAGUGCCACACUAAUUGUUUAGCAAUAUUUAGUGAAAUGUUUGCUUUGAUUUUAAACAGAGUGGUACAGCUUUAAAGAUAUCUGUUUAUUAUUAGUACUGUUCAUACCAGGAAAAAAAAAAUUUAUUGGUGAUAAAGGGCUUUAACAAAGUUAAAAAAGUAUGCUUACUUGAAUCAACUAUACAAUAAAAUGGACUUGUUAGAAAGUGCAAACAAAUGCCUUUUAAACUGCUUCCCUAAGGCUGUUAGCUGUUGAUAACUAAACUGGCAGGCCGAUGCCACCAUCAUUUCCCUAGCAGUGCAAAACUAAACUAGGGGACCUUGUCAGGCCAUCCAUCACAGCUUGUCACCUGAAGACAUAAAUAAAAAUUCAGCAUUUCCCCAGAUUUAUCAGAAAGCUGGUAUAUCUAUUUACAGACCCCAUGGCAAAAUUAUUCCUUAAAUUCAGGCUUUUAAAAUGUAUACAUUAGUGCUAUGCAGGCAUACAGCCAACAUUUAUUUUGCAAACUUAAAAUGUACCCAAGAAAAUUAUUCCAAAACUAAGAAAAAUACCUACAGAAAGAAUAUUAACUUUAAAGCCUUUAAUUUUAUUGAUCAUAGUAAUUUGACAGAUCAAUGUGUUAAUGGAAAAGAAUUGCAUCUAUUAUGGUUAUGUAGAGUCACCAAAAUAUUUCAGGAAGGGAGAAAAUAUCCUUCCUCUUCCUUUGAAAUUUCUUUUUUUUUUAAACAUACUAUAAGCAGAAGUAUGGGCUAGAGAAAUACUCUAGAGUAGCAGUCUGCAUUUUCUUUUUGUCUCAAUAGGAACAGAUAGUAAAUAUUUUAGGCUUUGAAGUCUGCACAUGUUCUCUGUUACAAAUUCUUUUUUGGUUUUACUUCACAACUCUUAAAUAUAUAAGAAAACAUUUUUAAUUCAUCAAUGAUACAAAAGGAAUUAGAAUCAACUGGCCAGAUUU